AUGGUCUGGUUCCAGCAGAAGCUAGGGAGCCCUCCCAGGUUUCUACUACACUACUACUCUGACUCAGAUAAAUACCAGGGUUCUGACAUCCCCAGCCGCUUCUCUGGCUCCAAAGAUUCCUCAGCCAAUGCAGGAGUUUUGCAUAUUUCUGGGCUGCAGCCUGAGGAUGAAGCCGACUACUACUGUGCCAUCUGGCACAACAAUGCUUCUCACAGGUCUCUGUCUCAGCUUGUGCUGACUCAGUCACCCUCUGCAUCUGCCUCCCUCGGGGCCUCAGCCAAGCUCACCUGCUCCCUGAACAGCGAAUACAAAACCUAUGGCAUUGCAUGGUUCCAGCAGUACCCAGGGAAGGCUCCUCAGUAUGUGAUGUGGGUUAGGAGUGAUGGUACCUUCAAUAAGGGGAAUGGAAUUCCUGACCGCUUCUCGGGCUCCAGCUCUGGGACUGACCGCUACUUGACCAUCUCCAACAUCAGUCCUGCGGAUGAAGCCGACUACAUCUGUGGUUCAGAUUACAGCAUUGGUGGGUCAUAUGGUUAA